rnacentral:rRNA from 1 species
GAUGAACGCUGGCGGCGUGCCUAAUACAUGCAAGUCGAGCGAACAGAUGAGGAGCUUGCUCCUCUGACGUUAGCGGCGGACGGGUGAGUAACACGUGGAUAACCUACCUAUAAGACUGGGAUAACUUCGGGAAACCGGAGCUAAUACCGGAUAAUAUAUUGAACCGCAUGGUUCAAUAGUGAAAGACGGUUUUGCUGUCACUUAUAGAUGGAACCGCGCCGCAUUAGCUAGUUGGUAAGGUAACGGCUUACCAAGGCAACGAUGCGUAGCCGACCUGACAGGGUGAUCGGCCACACUGGAACUGAGACACGGUCCAGACUCCUACGGGAGGCAGCAGUAGGGAAUCUUCCGCAAUGGGCGAAAGCCUGACGGAGCAACGCCGCGUGAGUGAUGAAGGUCUUCGGAUCGUAAAACUCUGUUAUUAGGGAAGAACAAAUGUGUAAGUAACUAUGCACGUCUUGACGGUACCUAAUCAGAAAGCCACGGCUAACUACGUG